rnacentral:rRNA from 1 species
CAUUUAAAGAGUGCGUAACAGCUCACUAGUCGAGGAGUUUGGCGUGGAUAAUAAUCGGGCAUAAGUGUUUUACCGAAGCUAUGGGAUACGUAAGUAUCGGUAGGGGAGCAUUCCACUCAGCGUUGAAGGCGAAGCGUGAGCUUUACUGGAGCGUGUGGAAAAGCAAAUGUAGGUAUAAGUAACGAUAAAGGGGGUGAGAAACCCCCUCGCCGCAAGACUAAGGUUUCCUGAUCAACGCUAAUCGGAUCAGGGUUAGUCGGGUCCUAAGGCUCAGCCGAACGGUGAGGCCGAUGGCAGAACAGGUUAAUAUUCCUGUACUACCUAUAGGAGUGAUGUGGAGACGGAGGAGUGACAACGCCGCGGACUGACGGAAUAGUCCGUUAAAGGGUGUAGAUGUUGAUUAUCCCAGGCAAAUCCGGGAUAAGAGUCGAACCUGACAGUAUACCAAUUUCCUCGGAAAACGGUAAUAGUGCGUGUAAACAUACUCCCAAGAAAAUCCGCUAAACUUAAUCUUAUAGGUACCCGUACCGUAAACGGACACACGUAGUCGGGUUGAAUAUACUCAGGCGCUUGAGUGAAUCACGGUUAAGGAACUAGGCAAAUUGACCCUGUAACUUCGGGAUAAAGGGUCCCUACCCGGUGACGGGAGGGCGCAGAGAAUAGGUCCAGGCAACUGUUUAACAAAAACACAGGGCUGUGCAAAAUUGAAAGAUCACGUAUACAGCCUGACACCUGCCCGGUGCUGGAAGGUUAAGAGGAGAUGUCAUCGCAAGAGAAGCAUUGAAUUGAAGCCCCAGUAAACGGCGGCCGUAACUAUAACGGUCCUAAGGUAGCGAAAUUCCUUGUCGGGUAAGUUCCGACCUGCACGAAUGGUGUAAUGAUCUGGACACUGUCUCAACCGUGAGCUCAGUGAAAUUGUAGUAUCGGUGAAGAUGCCGAUUACCCGCGAUGGGACGAAAAGACCCCGUGAACCUUUACUAUAGCUUAACAUUGAAUUUGGGUAAUUGAUGUGUAGGAUAGGCCGGAGACUUUGAAGCAGGCACGCCAGUGUUUGUGGAGUCGCUGUUGAAAUACGGCCCUUUGGUUAUUUGAGUUCUAACUCGCUGAUGCGAGGACACUGUUUGGUGGGUAGUUUGACUGGGGUGGUCGCCUCCAAAAGCGUAACGGAGGCUUCCCAAGGUACCCUCAGCACGAAUGGUAACCGUGCGCGGAGUGCAAUAGCAUAAGGGUGCUUGACUGUGAGACAUACAAGUCGACCAGGUACGAAAGUAGGGUAUAGUGAUCCGGUGGUUCUGCGUGGACUGGCCAUCGCUCAAAGGAUAAAAGGUACUCCGGGGAUAACAGGCUGAUCGCCGCCAAGAGCUCAUAUCGACGCGGCGGUUUGGCACCUCGAUGUCGGCUCGUCACAUCCUGGGGCUGGAGAAGGUCCCAAGGGUUCGGCUGUUCGCCGAUUAAAGUGGCACGCGAGCUGGGUUCAGAACGUCGUGAGACAGUUCGGUCUCUAUCUGUUGCGGGCGUAGGAAGAUUGAGGGGUCCUGACUUUAGUACGAGAGGACCGAGUUGGACGAACCUCCGGUGUAUCGGUUAUGCUGCCAAGUGUACUGCCGAGUAGCCGCGUUCGGUCUGGAUAAGCGCUGAAAGCAUCUAAGCGCGAAGCCAUCCCCAAGAUAAGUCUUCCCUUGAGGGGCGUAGGAGACUACUACGUUGAUAGGCUGCAGGUGUAAAGACAGCAAUGUCAAAGCCGAGCAGUACUAAUUACCCGAUAGGCUUUCUU